UAAGGGUUUCGCUUUUGUAGUGUAUAUAAGGGAAUCUGAAGGAAUGGGUUUGUUUGUUUCUUUUGGGUGAGACGAAACAGGUUUUUGUGUUCGUGUUCUCGCCAGGACGGACGAUGAUGUCUUGACUCAGAACACAAAAACACGGUCGCCGGCGUCUUCUUACAAGGUAACCUAGGCUAGGUCUUUGUCUUGUUGGCGCUGUUCCUCUUGUUCGACAAGAGGGCAAAAAGGUUUGUGUCUUUGUUCGUGUGUUCCAACCAGAACGAUGACUCUGAUUUUUUUUUCAAGGACGUACGGAGUAGAUUCAGAACAAACACGGUUGCCGGCGUGUUCUUACAGUAACGUAACAAGAUCAAACUGACUCUAAUUGUUAUAGGUGGUGUCUUUGACUCAAUUUGUCUUCCUUCCUCUUCCACUUCAAUUUGCAAAUCUUUUUAAGUCACCAAGUUGCUUUAAAUUGCAGAUUCUGUUUUAUUUGUUAAUUUGCCUGUGAAACGAGCUAAAUGGAGUCAAGAAGCAGGUUUGCAGAAAUUGGAUGUCUUUGAAAAGCUUGAAGCUAAGUGUAUAAGUUGAAGAUGUUUAUUAAGCUCUGCACUCCAUGUCUCCAUCUUUUGCCUGCACCACCACAUCUGCCAGAAUUCCAGGUGUGUGUUCGUGUGUUCCAACCAAGACGAUGGUUCAUUGACUCUGAUUUUUUCAAGGAUGAAGUAGAUUCAGACCAAAAAUGGUUGCGGGUGUUCUUACAGUAACAACAUCCAACUUAUUAAAAGGAUGGAGUUGUAAAUUCAGAACAAACACGGUCGCCGGCGUAUUCUUACAUCAAACUGAUCGAUUACAAAAUAAGGGAGACGAGUGUUAGUACCAUAGCUAGCACUACCAAUCUCAUUCAUCAAAAUAUCAAAGCCAUCACAAGGCGACGAGAGAGAGA